UAGGGAAUCUUCCGCAAUGGGCGAAAGCCUGACGGAGCAACGCCGCGUGAGUGAUGAAGGUCUUCGGAUCGUAAAACUCUGUUAUUAGGGAAGAACAAAUGUGUAAGUAACUAUGCACGUCUUGACGGUACCUAAUCAGAAAGCCACGGCUAACUACGUGCCAGCAGCCGCGGUAAUACGUAGGUGGCAAGCGUUAUCCGGAAUUAUUGGGCGUAAAGCGCGCGUAGGCGGUUUUUUAAGUCUGAUGUGAAAGCCCACGGCUCAACCGUGGAGGGUCAUUGGAAACUGGAAAACUUGAGUGCAGAAGAGGAAAGGGGAAUUCCAUGUGUGGCGGUGAAAUGCGCAGAGAUAUGGAGGAACACCAGUGGCGAAGGCGACUUUCUGGUCUGUAACUGACGCUGAUGUGCAAAAGCGUGGGGAUCAAACAGG
rnacentral:rRNA from 1 species